UUCGGUCUCUUGAGCGACGUGGAACCACCCUAUUCCAUUCCGAACUGGGAAGUGAAACACGUCAGCGCCAACAAUACCUGUUCCGCAAGGAUCCGGGAAGAUAGGUCGAGGCCGGGG
rnacentral:rRNA from 1 species